rnacentral:rRNA from 1 species
AUUGAACGCUGGCGGCAUGCCUUACACAUGCAAGUCGAACGGCAGCGGGGGAGAAGCUUGCUUUUCCUGCCGGCGAGUGGCGAACGGGUGAGUAAUACAUCGGAACGUGCCCUGUAGAGGGGGAUAACUAGUCGAAAGAUUAGCUAAUACCGCAUACGACAUGAGGGUGAAAGUGGGGGACCGCAAGGCCUCAUGCUAUAGGAGCGGCCGAUGUCUGAUUAGCUAGUUGGGGGGGGAAAGGCCUACCAAGGCGACGAUCAGUAGCUGGUCUGAGAGGACGAUCAGCCACACUGGGACUGAGACACGGCCCAGACUCCUACGGGAGGCAGCAGUGGGGAAUUUUGGACAAUGGGCGAAAGCCUGAUCCAGCAAUGCCGCGUGUGUGAAGAAGGCCUUCGGGUUGUAAAGCACUUUUGUCCGGAAAGAAAUGGCUCUGGUUAAUACCUGGGGUCGAUGACGGUACCGGAAGAAUAAGGACCGGCUAACUACGUGCCAGCAGCCGCAGUAA